rnacentral:rRNA from 1 species
GACGAACGCUGGCGGCGUGCUUAACACAUGCAAGUCGAACGAAGUGGCGAACGGGUGAGUAACGCGUAAUCAACCUGCCCUUCAGAGGGGGACAACAGUUGGAAACGACUGCUAAUACCGCAUACUACAGCAGGGGAUUGCGUUGGAUGAGCUAGUUGGAGGGGUAACGGCCCACCAAGGGGAUGAACAGUAGCCGGUCGGGGAGGAUGAACGGCCACAUUGGGACUGAGACACGGCCCAGACUCCUACGGGAGGCAGCAGUGGGGAAUCUUCCGCAAUGGACGAAAGUCUGACGGAGCAACGCCGCGGGAGUGAUGACGGCCUUCGGGUUGUAAAGCUCUGUUAAUCGGGACGCGGUACCGGAAUAGAAAGCCACGGCUAACUACGUGCCAGCAGCCGCGGUAAUAC